AUGGUGGCCAGGCCACAGCCACCCGGACGUUUGCGAGCGCCGAAGGUGGGCCUGGAGGCGGGGACCUGGCCCUGCGGGGCCGGUGCGUGCGGGGCCCGGCUGAGCCGCCGGCUCCACCGGCAAGGAACCGGGCUCCCGCCUUCCCUGCCACACCGGGAGUGUGUGAGGGGGGACCCUCGGCCGGCAGGGGGCGCUCUCGGCCACUCCAUCCGCCCGGUCACCGCGGGAUCCCGCUGCUCCAGCCCGCCGGUGCCGCCGUCCCGCCUCCUCCCUCAGCCCAGCUCUGCCUCCGCCUUCGCUCCCCGACCCCUCCCUUCUCCCUCUCAGUCCCGCAGGGAAGCUGGGCUGGGCGAGAGGGUGUCUCCUGGGUCCACCGUGGAAGCCCGAGGCGCGGGUGCGGAGCCAGCCCAGGGCUGCCGGCGUGAGCUGCAGGGCUGGCCUGGUGCUCAUCCUCUGCCCGGGGCGCGGGGAAGGCGAGGGUCGCUGUGCUGGAUCUGUGUGCUCAGUGGCCACGCGUCGGCCUCAGGAACGGGAACGAGGCGAGAGACACAGAUGUGGGUGAUUUCCCUGUGGAAGCUGUACCCGAGGCCGUGGGAGUGGAGGGCACUGGGCUGCGAAUGGAGACAGGAUGCCCCGAGGGCCCGGGAGCGGGAGGUGGAGCGGGUCCCAGACGGCAGGGGCUCGGAGUGGGAGGCAGCGGGACUGAGAGAGCCGCGCCAGGGCCGCAGGGGUGCGCAGGGAGCUUCCUGCCCUUUGCACCUCAGGCUCCGGGAGCUGAUUUGUUUCACCUUGGGCAGGUGCAGGAUCUGCGCUUGCAGCCACCUUACUUCGUGGGCUGUACCUGAGGUGACAGGCAGGGUCUUCUCUGAUGAAGUUACCCACACGAGUCACCACGGGAUGACGAAUGCUCUCCCCAUCACCCGACAACUCCUCAGGUCGAGAGUACCUUUUCAGACCUCAGGCCUCUGUGACACCAGACAGUGGCACAAACUCAUGCUUCCCUCAGUUUCCACAGAAAACCAUGGAAUCAAGGAAAGACAAACAUGGGCAAAGGCACAGCAGGGUAAAGCAAAAGACAACCACACCCCAAUCUCCAGGAAAACUUUCACUGAUGUCAAGGUCUUCAAGUCUUUAACUGAGCCUUGCGUCUACUGGCCCUGCUCUCCUGCAAACUAUUUGACCCUAGGAUUUCCCUUCACCGCAACAUGUGAGGAGCAAAGGAGACAAAGUGAGGGGAGUCAAAGGGUGGUGUUGGUAGAGAGAGAAGAGUCAGUUGCUCCUGUAUUCCUGCUUUUUGAGGAGCCAAUAAAAUGUUUUUUUUAGGCGGAAGGUAGUUACUGGGCCUUCUACUCAUUCAUGAUCAAACCUGGACAAAAACCUGAAGUGCUGCCUCUGCUUCUCAUCCUUGUACAGGGCUCAGAGCCCAGGUCCAGGCUCUUUGACUGCAGGAGUGGGAGCUGGGGUCGAGGAGACAGACUGUACUGUAUGCCGACCUCCACAUUAUGAGGUCUGCUCCACUGGAAAUCGUCUGGAGGGAGCUGUAGUCACAGCUCUCAGAUGGCCAGGCAUGCCUCCUUCCUUUGCAAUCUGCACAGUCCUCUCCUGGAGGAAUGUGGAGAGAUCGCUUUGCCGGAGCCUCCUCACUUAACCUGAAACUCGGGUCAUGGUCUGAAGGAGGCAGUUCUGCGUCACUCUUAAUGAUGAAACCAGAGGAAAGAGGCUCUUACUGCUCUAGUUUUCUAAAUUUCAAAGAUGCAAAGUCUCAGCAAACUCAGAAUAUAAUUGAGCUUCCCCAGGAAAAAAUCUGCGUAGUUCUGGUUCUCUGGCUCUUCU
ensembl:lincRNA